CUCAUAAACUGGGUCAGAGAGUUUUGUCUGCUGUACUGGGGUAGGUGAGAGAAGAGACUGACUUUGGAUCCAUAAUCCUUUCGUGUAGGAACCUGUUGACGCUCUGGUUUUUUAACAAGCCUUCUCAGAAGUAGGUCAUCAACCUGAGGGUACUCAGGGAGACGCUUCACUCCUGAGGGGGUUUCUCCAGCUGUGCUGGGGCUGGCCUUAGGAGG
rnacentral:misc_RNA from 1 species